AUUUGAAUAUAGGAAAACAACCCCACCCUAAACAAGGAUGCCGCCAUUGCAAUGGCAGAAAAGCUAAAGAAGGAAAUUCAGAAGAAAAGGUCUGUAAUUCCCACAGAGGUCCGUUAUGAUUCUGAAGAAAGUGAAUAUGACUGUGCCCGACAUCAAAGGAGUAUAUCAAAACGACUGUUGGUAAGUGAUUCAGAGGAUGACGGCUACUGUACAUCAAACCAAGUACAACUCAAAGUGCCAGCUGUUGUCUUGACAUAGAGACCAUAAAGGCUCUUAAAGAGAUACCUGCAAUUGUCAAAUCCCUAAAGGAUGUAGUGUCAAAAUUGCCAUUGGCUGGCCACAUGGGCUCACCACCCCCCUGGAACACUCCAAGCAGCGAAUCAGCAGGACCUUCAAGCUCUGAUACACCAGUUUCAGCAAGUUCACCAGUCAUGGUAACAUUGCCUAACUCCAACAUUCAAGUCCAGAAAAGGCUCUUUGGUCGUUUGAGCAAAACCAGGAUGUCACUUUAUACACAAGAGCUGGCACUACUGCUUUUCGGGAAGGAGACAUUGGCAUCCUCAUCGAUCACAGGGAAGCAUGCAAGCAAUCAUAAGGACCUGCCAGAGAAAGACCAGCUAGACCCUGAAAAGGUUGAGGCAUUAAUAGAUUGCAUCAUUGCACAAUUCCCAGGGACCUCUGCCCAAGAGGUGAAGAAUAUUUUGAGGAGAAAGUGCAAUAACGAGAGCUUUGCAAAACAAAAAAACAGGUAGCCUCCCUGGGAGCACGACUCAGAAGCCGUAGGUUACCCAAAUUUACUCUGCGCCAACGAAGACGAGGAGAAGAAGGAUCCCUGUGCAGGAAAAUAUCAUCCGAGCCGAUGACAGGUACCAGCCAGGCGUCGACAGGGUCCAGAUAGCGCUGCGCAACAAACAAACGCUGUGCCGAUCCAUAAUUAUUAAAAGAAGCCAUAGAAGAGUGUCCCACCCAAGCCUUCAACCUCACCAGCCGACCGCCUCGUUUACCCCGACGACGAGUGCGUUUACGCCAGACAGGUGCUUAUCCAUGGUUAAAAAGGAUGAUCUCCUCAGCAUGCAUUUGCAUCUCAUUACAACUGAAAAUAACACUGGCAUUUAACAGGGAGAGAAGAUUCAUCUUGCAUGUCUCAAAUUACCAAGCAAAACAAUUACUCUUUGUGAGUGUCUAUUUUCUUUCAGUGUAUCAAUUUUAUUCUAAGUACACAAGUAAAUGUCAAAAGAUUGUUUCCAGUUUCCAUACAUGCAUUGCAAUUAUUUUGAUGCCGUCCAAGAAUGAUUUAAAUGACUUACCUUCUAAUUAAAUUAUUCAGCAACGGUGUGAAAUAAAUUACACCUAACGUCUUUAGUUCCAUCAUUUAGAUUUUUUUCCCAAAUCAAAUAAGCCACCAAAAUUUACACAUUCCCUUGAUCACAAGGUAGACGUCAAACUUUUUACAUCUAAAGGUAAGACAAAUUAAAUAGUUCAAAUAACAGAACCCACAUAGCAAACUAUUACUGCUUCACUAAAUUAAUAUUCACAUAACCUGAAAAAUAAUUUGAAUUGGUGUCUUGGAGAAUCAUUGCCUUUCACAGCAGAACUGUGGCCCUAAAUUAAAGUCCAGGCAUCCUGGCAAUCAUCUUUAUGCUAAAACAUAAAAGUUAUCUAAAUUAACAAAAAAUAAAUUAAAAACUAAAAUAUCAGUCAUAAAUAAAGGCGGACAAUUAUAUCUAUAACUGAUUUGACCCAUAUAACAACUCUAUCAGUUUUAGAAUAACUUCAAGUAGAUAAUUAGAAGUUUGUGUACAUCAUAUUUCCUACCUGCAGGUCCACCCCAACAUAUGGUCAGUGAAUCAAAUGUCAACCAUUGCUGUAUGUACAGUCUUAUGAAUCCUAAUAAGCAGUGCUUAAAGCCAGCAUCCCACUACACAUCCACAUAGACAUUAGACAUACAAACUCACGGCUACUGUAUCACCAUGACAAACAGAUACAAAGCAUGGACUGAAAGGGAAGUCAUUUGUAUCUUUUAUGAUUGUCAGAAAUACUACCCUAACCAUAAGUACUUUUGGCAUAUUGUGUAUGGUAACUGCCUUUAGAACACCAAAUUAGUGUAUAGUGUAUACCUAUGGAAACUGCAUUUAGUAAUUAUCUAUAGAUAUAUGAGCUGACCCCUACCAUGAAUAAUACAUCUGUUAAGUACUGUGAGUUACUAUCAUGUUAAGAAUUUGCAGAAGUGGUGAACGAGAAAAGAUACAUAUACUGUAUAAUGCAAAUAUA